rnacentral:lncRNA from 1 species
AUGACAGAACAACUCGAUCAAGUGAAAAAAGCAGUUGAAAAAGCGAUCAAGGAUUUUGAACAAUGUCUUACAGAAGGGGUUAAAAAUUCCAAAACCUCUGAAGAAAACCUGAACACCUUUUUGCACCGUGAUGAAAACCCUCUCGUGUUCAUGACACUAGAGGCCGUGGUUAAGAAAAACGGCAUCCACAAAACAAAAAAAGGGGAAGAAAUAAAUCUCAACACAAUGUUGGCUUCCUGCUUGACUGACAGCAUUGAUGAAAAAUUCAGAAAGACCUUCCCAAAUGAUGUUAAAGGCAGAUAUUUCAAUGGAGUCAUCAGCAUAUUUUCACUUGACACAAAACCACUGAUUCAAGAGUACCAAGAUGUCAAACUGCAGCUGAUAUUUCUCCAGACAGAGGAGGAAAGAAUUAAGGCAAAACUCAACAAAAUAAUCCUAAAGGAGAAGAAAGUAAUCUACAAUAGUCUAACAGAGACAAUUGUGAAAAGCAUGCAAAAGGGCUAUGAUGAUGCAAAGGCAAAAAGGCAAAAGGAAGACAUGAGGAACACUCUUGAGACACAUGUAUCCUCAAAUAGGAACAUGUAUGAGGAUGCAAAAAAGACCAUGUUGGAGAAGAUGGAUACGUUGAAGACGACCAUCUGCAAUGAACUGAAGGAAACCAUGGAACACUCCAUUAAACUCUCAUUCAAGGUUGAUGUUUGCCCUCUCCCAGGUAAAGGGAAUACAGGCAAUGAAAAUGAAUAAUUUAUGUUGAACAAUGCUAAAGAAUGUUUUUACUUAUUUUAUUGUUUUUUGUAGAUGUUUCAAAGCAUCUUAAAACUGUGCAGCGAUAUCAUGAUGAAGUUAAAAAGAGAGAGAGAGAAAUGCCAGCACAGUAAUCGGGUAAAUAUUUAAAUGUUAUUGCAUGUCACGGGAUUAUUAUUGUUACCCAUUUUGUGCUAAAUUGCUAGAUUCCUGAGAAUUCUUAAAGGGAUCGGCGGAGGGUUAUAUGAGCUUUUAGCUGAGAUUCUGAGGUUUCUGUGGAUACCACACAUUUGCAUGAAAGACUUGAUGUCAGGGAGGGUUAAACUGCAGGUCACCCCCUUUGUCCCCGGUACCGGGGGCCUUAGGGCUCAAGAUUAACCCUCUGGGGUCCAGGGUAUAAUUGGCCAUUUUUAACUACUUUUAAAAACUGCUUACCUUGCCUUGUUUGGUAUCAUUCUUUUCAGCACAACCUCUUGUGUCUGAAUUUACAGUAACUGAUAAAUUUUUACAUACUGUAUUAACACAAUUGAUCUAAAAUCAGAGGAAAAGCAUAAAUUCAGAGUAGAAUUUUUUUAUUUUCUAUUGUAGCACCAACAAAUAUGUUUAACAAAUCAUUUUCACAAUUUGAAUUGCAAAUAUAAAUUGUAAAUUUUAAAAACUUAUAAACAAGUUUUUCAAACAACACAGUUAUAUGCAACUAUUUACCUAAAAUGCAGCUGAGGCCUCAGGCCGUUUUCAUAUAAGCACUUAAAACUAUUUACAGAACAAUCAGGUUUUCUGCAUUGAAUAAGAAGGCACACAAAUGAUUUGUGCCACUGCAAAAAAUAGUUUGUGUCACUAUAAGACAGAGGAGAACAGCACUGGGAUAAACCUGCAGGUGUAUCACUCCUGUUUUCCCACAGUGUUUACUCUUCAAUCUGCUUUCAGUGGCUUUUUUGCGGCAACUGUGACACUUAAUAGUAGAACUGACACGCAAAACAAAACAACAAACACGCUAAACGUCACAAAUCUCUCACAUCUCAAAACUCUCUGUCUCUGUCUCUCUUUAGCUUGCUCCUUCUCACCGCUGUCACUCCUAAAACUUCUCCCUCUUCCUAAACAACCAAAUGCCACAUGUUGCGAUAUCAUUUUUUGAUUGGUUGACAUGAUACUUUUUUUUUUUUGCUCACAAGCGGAGAGUGCUUGCUAGCAGUGUCCUUAGAAAACACAGUUUUUACAGUUUUUUCCCGCAGUAAAUAACACAGUAUUACUCAGAAAACAAACAUCAUGUGUAUUCUUAUCCUACCUCUGGUUUUAUGUGGCCUAUUAACACAGUUUAAAAACUGGUAUAUAGUUUGAAGUCUGCCCUUUAAACACAAGUUGAACGGUCGGUAAGUCGCUGCAUCUCGUUGCUGUGUCAUCUUAAAUUGAUCAUGUGAUUUGGACACGCCAGCGUGUCAGUUGACCCCAGAGGGCUAAGCGCCAGUACCCUAAAACUCCCAAUAAUCCACUUAUGAAAAAUUGAUUAUAUUCCUAUAUUGUAUGAGAAAUUAUUCACUAUUUGCCUGACAAUGCUAGAUCUUCUUCAAAUGAAGUUUACUAACAGCUGCUAACCAACUGCUAACAGCAGCAAAAACAGCAGUACUCCCAACAUAAAAGCACAUGCUCCAAAAUUUACCUGAAUAUUGUCCACAGUCUUUGAACAGAAUUGAGUUAUUGUCUCAUGUUGGACUGACAGCUGAGGUAAACAUGCUGAAUUUAUUAUUGCUGAGCACAGAUGAAGUAUUUGAAUAAUAUAAUCACUUGUAUUUGGCGAUUCCUUACCCUUUUUACGUCCAAGUUACCUCAAACAUGUCAAAACAAAGUGUUUACAAAAAUUAUUUUCACCAUAAACAGUAGUAGUAACACCAAAUAAUAAUAUUUUCUAUUCUAGGGUGAGGAGCUUUCAAGACAUUUUAAAGCAAAUUUUAAGUAGUGAUGGUUUUACUGUUUGCCCUGAGCAGCUGAGUGUUAAAGAUCUUUCUGUUUAUUAUUACUGGAUGUUUCAGAAACACAAUGACCCACUCAACGUCUCUGAGAGAACACUGACUAAAAGCAUGAGGUCUCUGCGAAGCACCAAAUUUUUGUCAAGUUGUUUUGCCUUCUGUCCUUAAAUGUUGUUUGAUUUUUAAUGAAUUUGAUACAAUGAGAUUUUUCAGUCCUCACUGGAGGAAGCUCCUGGGUUUUAAUCUAGUUUGAGGCCUUUCUGUGUGGAUUUUGCAUGUUCUCCCUGUGUCUGCGUGGGUGCUCUCUGUCUACUCCAGCUUCUUCCUACCUUAUCACAGUUCAUUUAAUCAUUUCGGGGGGGGGGUUCCAGAAGUUGUUUGUAUUUUAAUUUUAGUUAACCAAAAUAUUCACAUCUAGUUUUAGUUUUAGUUAACUGUAAUAUUGUUAGCAACCUGCCCAGGGUGUACUCUGCCACUUGCCUGACAGCUGGGAAAGGCUCCAGCAACCUGGACUUGGAUAAGUGGAAGUAAAAUGGAUGUAGAUGUUUAAAUAUGAAUUCCUCCCAGGGGUGUCACCAGACUCUAAACCAAAAGGCCAGCAGUGUAUUCAAAUCCUCUUUUUUUCCUUCUUGGUUUUGUUAAUUAUUUGUAGACCCGAGUUAAACAGAAAAUUAGAAAGAGAAAUACAGAGGUAGAAGAUCUACAAUGUUGUUGUUUUUAAUUUUAGGGGUCUAAACAUUGAUAUCCAGAACUUUUUCUUUAAAUUUUAAUGAUUCUAUUGAUCUGCGACGGACUGGGGACCUGUCCAGGGUGUACCAUCGCCUCUCGCCCUAUGACAGCUGGGAUAGGCUGCAGCACCCCCCGCAACCCUGAAAAGGAUAAGCGGAAGAAAAUGGAUGGAUGGAUGGAUUCUAUUGAUGUUUUCUUUUACAUAUUUUGAUGUCUUAUAGUAAAUUUUAAUAUUUUAAUUACACGUGUUUAACCUUCAAUCAUUUAUUUUAGGGAUAUAUUUGUCAAUUUUAUUCUUGAACCUUAUACAGUGGAACCCCGACUUACGAAAUUAAUUUGUUCCCGAGGGUCUUUCGUAAGUCGAAGAUUUUGGUAUGUCGAAGCACCCAUUGCGCCUUUUAAAUGAACAAUAGCUAUAGGCUAGUUGGUAACUGCAACAACAAUACGUCAUUCAAGUGGAACAGCGAGACGCAACUACGAAAGCCAAGGGGUUGUCACAUGAUUCGGAAGGCAUUGUGGGCUUUGUAGGCUCAGCCAAUCAGAGCCAGCGGAUUUCGUUAUACGGGCAUUUUGCCGUAACACGGGCAGAAAUAUUGCCGUUCAGUGCCUUCCUGACUUGAAUUUUUCGUUAAAUGGGGUAUUCAUAAGUCGGGGUUCCACUGUAUAGCACAUCACUUAUGUAUACCAUUUUACUUACAUUUCUAACAUAAAUGUAAUUUACUGCAAUAAAAUUAUUUCAAUAAAAUCAUUUCUUUGGUUGUCAUAUGAUUAAUAAAGCAGCAGCAAACAACAAACCUUGUUCUUGUCUAUUUCUGACCCUAAAACUAACUAGCCUGGCAAAAAGUAUUUUGCAGCAGCACAGUAGUUUGUAACAUACAACAAUACUAUCUAUGAACUGUGAAGAUUGAACCACAAACCAUUUAUCAACAGGAUGUCAAAUGAUUGUUGAUGUCAUUGAUCAAGCUUCCUCUGACGCGUUCUUGCCUGGGUGACA